UUGAAGGCUAUGAUGUUGAAAAACUACCUAUUUUAUGAGCGAAUGGAAAACUUUCCUUUGUGAUUAUAAAAUUACCAAUGGAUCCUUCUGAGCCUUCCA
rnacentral:snoRNA from 1 species